UCGAGAAUCAUUCGCAAUGGGCGAAAGCCUGACGAUGCGACGCCGUGUGAGCGAAGAAGGCCUUAGGGUCGUAAAGCUCUUUCGCCUGGGAACAAGAGAAGCUAGUUAAUACCUAGCUAAUUUGAGCGUACCAGGUAAAGAAGCACCGGCUAACUCCGUGCCAGCAGCUGCGGUAAUACGGAGGGUGCAAGCAUUAAUCGGAUUUAUUGGGCGUAAAGGGCGCGUAGGCGGAGAUGUAAGUCAGAUGUGAAAUCCUGGGGCUCAACCUCAGAACAGCAUUUGAAACUGCAUCCCUAGAGGGUAGGAGGAGAAAACGGAAUUCCACAAGUAGCGGUGAAAUGCGUAGAUAUGUGGAAGAACACCGGUGGCGAAGGCGGUUUUCUAUCUUAUUCCUGACGCUGAGGCGCGAAAGCAAGGGGAUCAAACAGGAUUAGAUACCCCCGUAGUCC
rnacentral:rRNA from 1 species